rnacentral:rRNA from 1 species
UGAGCAAUCUGCCCUUCACAUCGGGAUAACUCCGGGAAACCGGUGCUAAUACCGAAUACGACCACUUCAGGCAUCUGAUGGUGGUGGAAAGUUCCGGCGGUGAAGGAUGAGCUCGCGGCCUAUCAGCUUGGUUGGGUGGGGUAAUAGCUCACCAAGGCGAUGGACGGGUAGCCGGCCUGAGAGGGUGACCCGGCCACACGUGGGACUGAGACACCGGCCCAGACCUCCGUACGGGA